rnacentral:rRNA from 1 species
UACGAAGGGUGCAAACGUUGCUCGGAAUCAUUGGGCGUAAAGCGCACGUAGGCGGCCCAGCAAGUUGGAUGUGAAAUCCCUCGGCUUAACCGGGGAACUGCAUCCGAUACUGGAUGGCUUGAGUUCGGGAGAGGGAUGCGGAAUUCCAGGUGUAGCGGUGAAAUGCGUAGAUAUCUGGAGGAACACCGGGUGGCGAAGGCGGCAUCCUGGACCGACACUGACGCUGAGGAGCGAAAGCCAGGGGAGCAAAGCGGG